rnacentral:rRNA from 1 species
UACGGGGGGGGCAAGCGUUGUUCGGAAUUACUGGGCGUAAAGGGCUCGUAGGCGGCCAACUAAGUCAGACGUGAAAUCCCCAGGCUUAACCUGGGAACUGCGUCUGAUACUGGAUGGCUUGAAUCCGGGAGAGGGAUGCAGAAUUCCAGGUGUAGCGGUGAAAUGCGUAGAUAUCUGGAGGAAUACCGGUGGCGAAGGCGGCGUUCUGGACUGUUUCUGACACUGAAAAACGAAAGCCAGGGGAGCAAACGGG